UACGAAGGGGGCUAGCGUUGCUCGGAAUCACUGGGCGUAAAGCGCACGUAGGCGGAUCGCUAAGUCAGGGGUGAAAUCCCGGGGCUCAACCUCGGAACUGCCUUUGAUACUGCAAAUCUCGAGUCCGGAAGAGGUGAGUGGAAUUCCUAGUGUAGAGGUGAAAUUCGUAGAUAUUAGGAAGAACACCAGUGGCGAAGGCGGCUCACUGGUCCGGUACUGACGCUGAGGUGCGAAAGCGUGGGGAGCAAACAGG
rnacentral:rRNA from 1 species